UACGUAGGGGGCUAGCGUUGUCCGGAAUCAUUGGGCGUAAAGCGCGCGUAGGCGGCCAGAUAAGUCCGGUGUGAAAGUCAAAGGCUCAACCUUUGAAUGCCGCUGGAAACUGUCUGGCUUGAGUCCGGAAGGGGCGAGUGGAAUUCCUGGUGUAGCGGUGAAAUGCGCAGAUAUCAGGAGGAACACCGGUGGCGAAGGCGCACAUCUGGCCCGAUACUGACGCUGAGGCGCGAAAGCUAGGGGAGCAAACAGG
rnacentral:rRNA from 1 species